ACGGGCUCAGUUCAGAUCGUAGGCUGCAACUCGCCUACGUGAAGGAGGAAUCGCUAGUAAUCGCAGGUCAGCAUACUGCGGUGAAUACGUUCCCGGGCCUUGUACACACCGCCCGUCACACCAUGGAAGUUGGCCACGCCCGAAGCCGUUACUCCAACCCUUGUGGAGGAGGACGUCGAAGGUGGGGCUGAUGACUGGGGUGAAGUCGUAACAAGGUAGCCGUACCGGAAGGUGCGGCUGGAUCACCUCCUAA
rnacentral:rRNA from 1 species